UAAGGAUUUUUUUUUUUUUUUCUUUCCUGCCUGCCUUUUUCUAACUUUCCAGUACACAUGUGUAGCAUUUCCUUUUGAGUUUAGGUUGGGAGAGCAAGAUGUACAAGCUCAAAGGCUGACCAGCAAGGCAUGGGUCUGCAGAUCAUAUGUAGAUGCAAGGACAAUCCUGGGAAAUAAUCAGUAAGAUUUCACAUACCUGGAAUCAGAAUAAAAUCAAAUUUUGAACAUUGGUACUAAUUUUGGGGAGCAAGGAGGAAUGUUUGAUUUCCUACCACAUUUGAUCAUCCACAUUACAGAUGUGGUUCAAACUGCUUCAACUUGACAGGUGUGAAACAUAAGAGUUGCAUUCAUACAGGCCUAAUUUCUUCACUGUGGUAGUUAAACACCAUGAAAAUAAGGAAUGCCUGAGUUUGGGACCAAGAUUAAGCCUCCUCAAAAGAUUAUAUUUUUUUUUCAAUAGUAAAUAUUGCUAUACCAAGAGAAGAACCUCAAAUGAGAGGUGGAAUGAUUAUUAAAAGACAGGCAUGGUGGAAUGUGUGUAUCAUUCACUGUCACAUUUACUAAAAGCCUUCAGAGAACUGAACCACAAUGUAUGUGAUGAACGUAUGUAGACAGUCCUUUCAUGAAAAUAAUUUCUACUGUAGCUUUGUAGGGGUCCCUGACAGAUGACAUCUGUGAAUCUAAAGACACUUGGUCGAUAUUCCCUAAGAAACCUCAUCUUGUAAUCCACUCAAUGUUCUUGGAUUUCAUUGUACUGUUGAAAUUCAAUUUUUUGGUUCAGUUUGUUUCCCUACCGAUUCUCUUCACGUGCUAUUUACACAGGUUUUUUUUUUUUCCACAUAUAUUUGCCCUUCAUUUUUAUGAGGAGUACAAAGGUCUUGUUGAAAUUGCUCUACAAGUGCUUUUCAACAUGUGCUGGCUGAAAUAAUUGUAUACAUCAGCUGUGCUUUCAAGUGCUUCAGUGUUAGAAACCAAUUAUUCCCAUCACCAGGUAGCCAGCUAAUGGUGGAGGGGUCAUUUGUCAUGGGAAGGUCUGAUCAUGUUUCAGUGCUUUCUUUGUAAGGUGUUUGAGUCUUACUUUACUGUAGAAUUUUUCAAACCCUGCAAUUGUACUCUGAAGAGAACAUCAGAAAGAUACAGACUCAGCCAGAGUUCACUGAGAACAUUUAAAAAACCAACUUAUGUACAGUUUUUCCUUUUGGGGAGGGGAAGGGAAAUGACAUUUUUCAUGGGGAGCCAUAGACACAUUGGGCAACUUGAAUCUCAGUAGCUGACUCUAAUAGUAAUCUGCUGCUUUCAGCCUGCUUUAUUAGUAAGAAAGAAACACCCCUGAAUAAUUCUGCCUCAUUCAAUCUUAAAUCAGUAUUACAAGAAAUGUGUGUGUUGUCUUUCAUAAAUACAGCUGUUUUGCACCUUUUUAUAUGUGAUAACUUCAAUAUAAAGCGUUGGUGAUAGGUGGAUGGUUAGAGUAGAUGGUCUUGGAGGUCUUUUUGAACCUUGCUGGUUGUGUGAUUCUCUGAAAAGCUCCUCCCUUUUCUUGUUUUUCUUCGCUGUUCUAUUCCAUUUACAAGGUUGCUGGAGAGCAACAGAAGUCACGGAGUCUCUUUGGAAAUGAGAUGGUUGCCAUGACAAAGCUCCCGGCUGCUUCUUGGCCCAGAUGAGAAAGUCAUUUUUAGACUCACGUGUUUGAAGGUUAGGCUACAAUGUGUUAAACUGAACAGUAUAGUUAACUGAUUUGAAUCUGCUAAAAAUUGUCUGUUGAAUAGAAUAUUAGUUCUGUUAAUUCAACUGGUUUUAUUGUUGUUUUUCUUUGUUUUUGAUCAGAUAGCCGAGGUAAAGCUGUUGUACUGACAUCAAGAUUUCCACGUUACUGAAUUCAGCUUGUCCAUAGCAUCCCUCUCAAAUGUAUGUCUAACCUUAAAAAUUCCAGAGUAAAGGGAUUUUUUUGUAUGUUAAGUUUGAAUGUUCAACUGCAAUAUACUUAAUAUUUGUACUUAAUGUAUUGUACGUUUUACUUAAUUCUCUUGUUUUCCAGAGUGACCAUUACUCUAUCAAAUAGAAAAAAAAAUAUUUUUCUUUCUGGAUAAAUCUAUGCUGGAUACUUUUCACUGCCUUAUUAACCUUCUGGGGGUGGGGAGGAUUUAUUGUAUUUAUUUAUUUAUUUUAUUUAUUUAAGUUUUAAAAUGUAUCUCACUGUCCUUUGAUUCUCUUGUUUUUCUCCCUUUUUAAAAAACAGGUUCCUGGUAUGCUCCACUGGAGUCAUCUGGGGCUUGCAAGCAUUUCUAUGGUUUAUGUUCAGUCAGGGAUAGAUGUCUUCAUUUCUCCAAAUAAAGGUUCAUCUCACAAAUAAUGAAUACAUAAAAAAAGUUUAGAAGCUGUAUUGAAAAUGGUGUUAUAUGUCAUGAAUUUCAGCAGUUUAAAAUAACUGGUUUCUGCUUUGUUAGGCAAUCUCGUGUUUUGCAUGCCGUUGCCAGCUCAGAGGAGCAAGUAAAAAUUGUUAAAAACAUUUUUUUAACUGUUCCUAUUUGAAGAUACAAAAGUGCGUUUAGUCAAGAUUGCAGAGCAAUCCAGUUCAAGUUGUUCAAAAGCACAGAAGUGUCUCUAAAGACUGGGGUCAUCCUGUCUCCUUCCACCUGCCCUGCUGAGUAGUCUUCUGUAUAUCAAAAUUUUUGUUUGAAAUAACUAUUCAGUGAGAUCUUUUUUAUAUUUUAUAUGUGGUUUGCAUUGCUAGAACUUUCUCCCUUGAGUUCCUUGUUCUGCUGAACAGAUAGCUGUGUGAAAGUUAGCAUUUGCACAUUUCUGCCAACAGUGCUGAUCCAUAAAUCCCCUGUUUGAAGCCUUUUGAAGUACCUGGAUACACAGGUUUCUAGCUUGUGCCACACUCUGUGCCAUAAUAUUUACUGGCACCUGCUGAUAUUUGUACCCAAGCUACUAAGGUAAAUUAAAUUAACUUUUGAAGUAAUGCUGCUUUGCCCUUGCUGGAACUGAUAACUUCACUGUAUUGGUCAGAUAGGAAUGCUUUUCACAUCCCUUACAAAAACAGGCCAAUUAGCUGUCCUGUGGUAUCCAGGUUGUCUUUGCAACUAACGUCAGAGCCUGAUGAAGUAAGUUGUUCAGUUUCAGUCAAAUUCUCCCUUUUUAAAGGUAAGUUAACUUGUUUAAAUAUUUGUUUAAAUACUUAUUAAAAUAAACAGAACUAUUUAAAAAUAACUUAAAAAUAAGAAGAGUUGCAUUGGAAUAAUUAAAAUAAUAUUUGCCAAUUAAAGGCAAGCAGAUUCAGAGGAAUAAUUGAAAUGUCAGCAUAUGGGGAAGGAAUAUGCGGUCACUGGGUUGAGACAUUAAAUAUCUUAAUUAAUAUGACUAACAAGUCAAUACAAUAAUGAUUAUUUUAAAACCUGUAUAUGACACAAAACCUUACCAAUGUGAAGUAGUCCUAACUUACCAUGAUUACAUAAUUUUCAGGACUAAAAAAAUGGUCUCAAAAUACUUGACCAAGAGCAGAAUAUCAUAGAUACUCAGAACAACUACAGUAUUUGCUGGAACAAACGUAUAAUUGUUAAUAUAAUUAGAAAAUGAUGUUAACUAAAAACUGCCUAAUUACUCACUUACAGAAAUUAAACCCAGCACUUUGAGGACAUAGCCAAAAGGCUAGGGAAAGGUGGUUCAUUUGGCAGAGCUGCAGGACAGGUCGUAUGCCAGAAUUGCCCUGCGACUGACCCGUUUCACAGCGGAACACAGCCAAGCACACCAGAGUAGAAAGUGUUCAAACUGGGCUGCAGGUUGGAUCAAAGAGUACAAAUGUGUUGGCUCAUCUUACUCUAGUUUAGAUGUCAUCUAGAAGUCAUUCAGAUAGAUAACACAACCUUCAGAUACAAGAAAAUACGGUGACAAUUAAUUCAUCUACUUCAUUACCUUUUUGAUAUGUAAUAUGUCAGAGCAAAGUCCACCAGAGUGAAAUAAUGAAGAUGCAAUUUUGCUGCGCUUCUACAUUUGAGAUAGUGUGUUGGAGCUGAUUUAUUCACCUGAACUUGAGUAGCAGGCAAAGUACAACUGUAGAGUAUGAGCUCAUACAUUCGUGUGCACUUGUUUCUUUGUCAAGCUUCACUGUAAGAGAUAAUUGGGUUGUUCUAGGUACAGUGUAAGUGAUACAACACAGGGCUCCAUGUCAGAACAACCACCAGCUGGAAGUACUGUGAAACAUCAGGAAAGGGAGAUGCACUUGAAAGAUGGAAGAAGCCAUUUUUGACAGAGGCUCUCACUGAAACCAGGUGUUUCAAUACCUUUCUCCUAAAAGAGAGAGAACUGUACUAAAGGUCAUAAAUGUUUCCAUUUUCAGUUGCAGUCUGUAUUAUAGCUGUGGAUUGUUGCAGGAGGGCUGAUUCUGAAGAAAGAUGCUGUUGAAGAGUUCAGCGGGAUUUGUUCUGAUCUUCCUCUCCCAUUGCACUGUGCUGGUGACCACCAAAGAGGCAGUGAUCUUAGCUAAUGCCCACCUUCUGUCUCAAAGACAUUAUGAUAGACUGGCUAACAUCAAUGAUAAAGACUAUCUAAGGGAUUGUUUUGAGAUUUUUCAGCACUCCAGAGGAAAUUCCAGAGAUGGUCUUUACGUCAUCCAACCAAAAGAAGACCCAAUUGUUGUCUCUUGUAACAUGCAGGAUGGUGGCUGGACAGUAAUCCAGCACAUUACAGCCAACAGUACUGUCGACUUUGAUAGAACGUGGCACGAUUACAAGUAUGGGUUUGGCUCUGUUCAUGACAACCACUGGUUAGGAAAUGAAUACAUGCAUCAAUUAACUGGCGGCUCUGUGCAAUAUGUACUUGGAGUUAAACUUGUAGACCUAAAUGCUGAAAUCAAAUGGGGACAGUACGAACCAUUCCGUAUUGAAGAUGAAGAAGCUCAAUACCGAAUCAGGGUUGGCCUAUACAAAGGCAAUGCUACUGAUGCUCUAACUCUGGACACAGAAGCUUACCUCCACGAUAACCAGAAGUUCACCACCAAAGACAGAGACAAUGACAAUUACUUUCAGAAUUGUGCCAAACUAGAACACAAUGGUAUUCCUGGGGGAGGCUGGUGGUAUGAUGCAUGUGCUGGGGCAAAUCUAAACCGUAGGAACGUGAUAUACUGGCAAAAGGACUGCAACAAGAAGCAUUUAUGCAAGUUUUCAUGGAUGAUGGUCAAACCUGUUGAACACAGCCCACUGUAUGCAACUAACUGUUGUCCAUGUCAGAAGGAGGAACUGUAGAUUUUCAGUUGCAGAAACUCAGGCAACAGAUAUUGGCGAAGUUCUGCUUUUUAAUUAAAAAAUGGGAUCCUGUCAUUGCCAUGAAAAUUAAUUUAGAGACAAAUAAACUGUACUGUGUUUAGAGAAGACCAAGACUGGCAUGAUUACUUGAGAAAUUAAUUGGAAAAUUGAGAAGUCAUGAAAGAAAAUUCUAUUUUUUACAUUGCACUGUAACACUUUCAGAAAAAGAUACAGAUGGACUCCUGUAUGCAACUUGGAAAACAGGAUCAGUGGCAAGUUUGUCCUCUUCUUCUGAAGAUGCAUAGCUGCUGCAGGUGGUCAGUUGGUCAACCUUAGCCCACUCAGUGCACGUGCUCACUGCCUGGGAUGCCUUCACUGUAGCUGAUGUACUUCGACUGGAUGAAGACCAGGAAGCCUGACAUCUCUCCCUUUUGACUAAGUUUUGUUGCUUGCAACUGAAGCAAGACUUCAGGAAAGCUUUUCGAGGCUUUAUCGUCUCAAAUUCAGCCACAGACUCAGAACCCUGAAGUUCAGCGAGGUCCUUGGUACGUUUCUCAGUCUCUUUGUAGAUGCGGCAAUAUAAAAUGGUCAUCACUGACACUGGAAUGUAAAAAGCAGCAAUUGCAGUACCAAAAGUGAUAAUGGGCUCGUAUAAAAACUGUAUCUGGCAUUCCUCAGGGGGUACUGUUCGUUCACCCACAAAAUACUGCCAGCAUAAUAUUACAGGUGCCCAUAGAAUGAAGGAGAUUAGCCAAGCCAGGCCGAUCAUGAUGCCAGCUCUUUUGGGUGUGCGUUUAGCUCUGUAUGUCAAAGGCCUUGUGAUGGAAAAAUAUCUGUCAAAGCUGAUGACUAGGAGGUUCAUGACUGAAGCAUUGCUAGCUACGUAAUCCAGCGCUAGCCACAGGUCACACGCCAGGCUUCCAAGAGACCAAUGGCCUAUGAGUAUAUAAGAGGUAUAGAGGUUCAUAGAAAAUAUUCCAAUGAUGAGGUCUGCACAGGCAAGACUGAGCAAGUAAUAGUUGUUAACAGUUUUGAGCUGACUGUUAACCUUGAAGGAUAUCAUUACAAGAACAUUUCCCACUAUGGUUAUUAAGCUUACAAUUGCAGUUACAGUGGCAAUAGUAAUAACUUCCCAGAGGCUGUGCCCUUCUAACUGUUUAUGGUUGAUGGAUGAACUAUUUAUAACAGUAGAAUUGCUGAAUAGAUUUACUUCCAUUCUUUUUCUUGAUCAAUUGUCAUCAGAAUCUUAGCACUCUUGCAUAUUGUUUUCUGUAUAUCUUUUGGAGGCAGCUGUAAAAAUAAAAGGAAAAAAGAGAAAAAGAAAGCAGCUCAUUAAAUAGCACAGACUUCCAUUAGAUAUACCUUGAAACACUUGCAAAGCAAUCCAUCAAAUUAUUUGUGUUCUCUUUCUGUAUUGUCAUAACUGUUUCUAUCAUUGUGAACUAAAUGAAACACACAUGUGUUCUAGGACAAUGUACUCAUGACAUUUCUAAAUGCAAUCAAAACAACUAUUGUUUCAUAAGAUGUUCAAUCACACAAGCUCUUACAUUUUUAAUACCUUAAGAGGCACUCUACAUAUUGUUAAAGACAGACAUUAAAGUUUUGCAGUGUAAUGAGACAGUGAGUCAUGGUGUUGUUCCUUACAACACUGUGUAGAAGAUACGUCAAAAUUUCAGAAAUGGUCUCUAGAAAAUUUGAGGAAGUCACUGUUUCAGAAUCCAUCAGCAGAAAAGGAACACAAGGGUACUGAAGAUGCAUAGGGAGAUAGUAACCAUGCUGGCACGGUGGCACUGGUAAAUGAUUAGGUGUUAGAAGUGCUCUGCUGGGGAAUUUUUAGAGUUAAGCAAAUAGGAAAGGACAAAAAAAAAAAAAGUUUUCAGAAAAAUAAGUUUAGCUGAAAAGACUUUUCAUUCUAGGAAGGUCUGAGUAAGAUAAGGUGUGGAAGUGCUGGAAGGAUUGGGUGAGGACAGAAAUGAGUAAAAUGAAGGGGAGUCAUCAAUGGAUAACCUCAGUGACAAACUGCAACAAAAACAAUUUAAUACUGUAGACUGCAUAAGCAGUAGAAGGAAAUGAAACCACUGUUAUUAUAUUAAUAUAUGUAUCUCUAAUGUCCAUACCUUCCUAUAGUCUCUCUCAUACGGUGUAACUUUUCACUGCUGUUUUCUUGUUUCUGAGAAUGCAUACCUGAAUCAGGCAAUUAGCUUCUUUCACAGAUCUCUUCUGGUUUUUAGUUAUUCCAUCACAUCUGAUGAUGUUAAUCAUUUGUUUGAUGCUUACUCUUCGUAGGCCACAUAAUUUUGGAAUAAUCAAGUAGAUGUUAGGUUUUUAAAGUCAGAAAUAGAAAAGGAUGUUUAAAUUUAUCAGCCAUCUACUCAGUAAAAAAACAGGUAAGAAGAUGAUUUUUUUUUUUUUUUGUAACUGAUACGGAUUCAGCUAAAAUUAUCAUAUAGGUCACCAAGUCCAACUUUUAAGUCUUCAGGAUACAAAAUCUCUCUUUUGUAGUCCUUCCUAUCCAUUCAUACCACUCCUCUUUCAUCCUAACUCUUGGAACAUUAUUUUCUUUGGUCUUUGCAAAUGUCUUGCAUUAACUGCAAGCUUUCCAGCCUGUAGUUUUCACACAUUGUCAUCUAUUUUAGUGCCCAGUAGCAGGCUCCUGAGUAGAUGAAUAUCAGCUGAAUAUAUAAAUGUUUUAUAGCCACUUGAUGAAUUUUCAGAAAAUAAUCUCAAUAUUUCCCACUGUCAUUUUACUUUAUAUUUUAUUUUAUAUUUUAUUUUUUCCUUCACUUUUGUUAUCCAGUGUCUUUUAAGUAUCCACAAAAGUAUAUCAGAUUUCUUCUUUAAACAUUCCAUAAAGACUACCUCUUGUGAUGAGAUUUGAUAACAGUAAGCUUGCUGGUGUACUGAGACCACUGGCUAUGACUCUGACUGAAGUGGUGCUUCACCACUUUGUCUCUCUGUCAUCUCCUGUCUUAUAUUUAGACGUCCAUAAGUCUGUAUCCUGUUUAUGCAUAAUGCAUACUGAGUGUAGCUGAACAGGAUUUUAGUUAAUGUAUAGACCUUGUAGCCUAGCAAUAAGCACAGUAAUUAUAACAUAUGCAUGUUGACCAUCUGUAUGCUUAGCUUCUCUGGCCUCAUGAGCCAGCCUAGCAGCCAAGAAUAGCAGAAGUGACACAGCAGUCCCAACAAGCCCUAAGUGAGGGAAGAAUUUUCAUCCUGGUUCUAGACUCUGCAGAAAUCUACAAGAGAAAGGAGAUGGAGGCCCUUGCUUCUUGCUUUCUUCACAACAGUUCUUAUUGGCAGGGCAGCUGACCUCAGACAGCUAAGCUCUAACUUAGUCAACUGAGCUCCUACAAAGGGGAUGUGCAUUCUGCCCGACAACUAACACAGCUGAAACAUUGCCAGUGCUCGUAGCUGUACGGCAAGUGAGAUUUCAGAAAAACCUUGAGACAGCCUCAAAAAGGCAGUAAGUAUGAAUGUCAAUCAAGCACACGAAUAAACCUCUAUUAACUGGCUGCCUUCUACAUUAGAAUCAUAGAAUCAUAGAAUUAUUGAGGUUGGAAAAGAUUCCAGGAUUGUCCAACCCCAACCUAUCCCCACCAUGCCCACUUACCAUGCCUAACACCUGGGGUUCUGCAGCAGGUCAGGAAGAUUACAGGAGGCUGAAUUUCUUUUUCUUUUUUUUUUCUUUCUUUCUUUCUUUUUUUUUUUUUCUUCCCUAAAAUGUGACACCCUUCUCAGAAUAGUAGAGAGUAGAAAUU